rnacentral:rRNA from 1 species
CAGUAGCGUAUAUUAUAGUUGUUGCAGUUAAAAUGCUCGUAGUUGAAGUUCGGAUGCAGCAGAGCUUGGAAACGCUGUUAUGGUGCUUCCGUUGCUUUUGCUUGUCCACAGUGCGUUGCAAGUACGUAUGUGCUUGUGCGUGCAUUUUACUUUGAGAAACAUAGGGUGUUCCACGCAUGUUACGGCAUGAAUAUUCCAGCAUGGGAUAAUCUGGUACGACUUCCAAUCUGCCAUUUUGGUUCGUAGGUUGGAAGUAAUGAUCAAUAGGGACUGUCGGGGGCAUUGGUAUUUGACUGUCAGAGGUGAAAUUCUGAGAUUCGUUGAGGACCAACCACUGCGAAAGCAUUUGUCAAGGGUGCCUCCAUUAA